UCGCCAUUGGGGAUCCUGCGCAGCUUUUUCUUCUUGAGGAUCUUGACCGCCCUGCGGCAUAAGGUCUCGGAGUCCAGCACCUCCUUCACCUUGCCGUACGAGCCCUCCCCGAGCAGGUCCCCCAUCAGGUGCUCAGGGAGAAAAAAAAUGAAAAUAAGAAUAAAAAAAAAAAAAGCAAUGAGCCCCCCCAACCCUCGCGUCCCCCUAAUUCGGGUCCCCGGGGACGCUGCUUCCGACGGAGGCGACGGUCCGCCGUCGCGGCGCGCGGGCCGCUAGGUCAUGGUCGCCACUUGGGCCCCGCGCUCAGGGGCCCAGGCGGCCG
rnacentral:lncRNA from 1 species